UUAUAUAUAUAAUAUACAUAUUAUAUUUACAGGAAAGUCAUAAAUAUACAAAUUAAAAUAUAUCUAUAUUUUAUAAUAAAGUAAUUAAUAUAAAUAAUAAAUAUAAUCUUAUUUCUCCCCUCUCUUACUUUGUUUGUGAGGAGUUGGUAAUAAGUAAGUAUAUAAUUAUACUUAAUUUUGUUAUUAACAUAUAACAAAAUAUAUAUGGAAAUUAAAAGCUUAAUAUAUAUAUAUCAUAAUAUUAAUAUUUCUUUAAUACCUCCCAUAUGUAUAAAGGGAAAAAUUAAACUAUUAAAGAGAUAAAUAUGAGUGAAAUAUAUAGUAAUAUAUCAUAAUUUAACCUAUCUUUUCCAUCCCAUGUAUUAUAAAAAUGUUUAUAAAAGGAAAGGUUAAAAAAUAUAAUUACUAUACAAAAAUAUGCUUAAAUAUAUAAUAUAUAUUAUAUAUAUAA
rnacentral:rRNA from 1 species